rnacentral:rRNA from 1 species
AAAAACAUGUCCUUUUGUAGUUUAGAUAUAAGGUCUAGCCUGCCCAAUGAUUGUAAUUAAUUCAAUGGCCGCGGUAUUUUAACUGUGCUAAGGUAGCAUAAUCAUUUGUCUUUUAAUUAAAGGCUAGAAUGAAUGGCUGGACGAGACACUGUCUUUCUUUAACUUAUCUUUUGAAUUUAAUUUUUUAGUUAAAAAGCUAAAAUGUUUUUGAUAGACGAGAAGACCCUAUAGAUCUUUAUACAUUCAUAUAUUAUAUAUUUUGGUUUGUUUAUUAAUUUUAAUAAAUGAAUGUAUUUGAUUGGGGCGAUUGUAGAAUUUUAAGAACUUCUAUUUUUAUAUUUCAUAAAUUAAUGUUUAUUUGAUCCAUUAUUAUUGAUUAUAAGAUUAAGUUACCUUAGGGAUAACAGCGUAAUUUUUUCGGAGAGUUCUUAUCGAUGAAUGGAGUUUGCGACCACGAUGUUGGAUUAAAAUAAGUUUUAAGGUGUAGGAGCUUAAAAACUAGGUCUGUUCGACCUUUAAUUUUUUACAUGAUCUGAGUU